GAUGAAGAACGCAGCGAAUUGCGAUAAGUAAUGUGAAUUGCAGAUUUUCAGUGAAUCAUCGAAUCUUUGAACGCACAUUGCGCCUCGCGGUAUUCUGCGAGGCAUGCCUGUUCGAGCGUCAUUGAAGCAAUGUUCAAGCUUCACAGUUUGGUCGUGGUGGAUGAGCAUCGACUUUGAUUCUCACCUCCAAAAUUGAAUGGCGGAUGUUGGGAAGCUGCCUUGAGCGUCGUAAGUGCCAGACACUCGCCUUGGUGGCUCUGAAAAUCCUGCCCACAAACCUUAGAUUACCACAGGUUGACCUCGGAUCAGGUAGGGAUACCCGCUGAACUUAAGCAUAUCAAUAAGCGGAGGA
rnacentral:misc_RNA from 1 species